AUUUUUGCAAUCACUGUACCUUGUCUCUCUCCACAUAAUCUUGUAUUUAAUGAUUUGUAACUUAGAGUGUCACAGCUGACAAGGUCCUUGCUUUGUGAAUCAUUAUAAGAAUCACAGGCUGAGAAGUCUUCUGAAUCGCUGCCUAAAAUGCAAAAAAUAAGUUAAAAGGGUCUGAAAUAUGAGGAGCUUUGGCUUAUGUACUCAGGUAAUUAUUUGGCUUUCAGCACUGUAAUUUCAGAGCAUUUUGCUGCCAUUAAUACUACUGCAAUUUGAGGAAGUACUUUUCACCCCCAGGAGAGUGGGGAUUGAGUUAAAGAUUAGCUUUCAGCCCUGUCUACAAGCUUUGAAUGUAAUUUUCUGGUGGUGCUUAUUUUCAGACCAAGAAGUGUUAUUUUUUUUCUUUAAUGAUGUUCUCCAUGUCCUUGUCCAUAGUGUUAUGGGAACAGUGCAGCAUAAUAGGAAUGGGAUGAGAAUUUGAGCAGCUCUAGUAUGGUACUGCUUUAACUGUAGCACCAACCAGUACAAACAAUGAUCCCAGUGUGUUAUAUUAAAUUAAAAGGAAAUCACAAAAAAGUCAAGGACAGCUGAUUGACAAAAGGUAAGAAAACCUGUAUAUUCAGACUUAAAACUGAAUGUAGGACAGCUCAUGCUAUUCUCCUUUAGUUGCUAGUUACUAAAGGCUUCAGCAUGUUCUGCUGUGGAAAAGUAAAAUGUUUUUAAGCAGAAAAAUGAAGUUGAAUCCAAAAACUGAAAGUGGAAGUACUGACAUGAAGUGUCUGUUGUCAAGCUUGAAAUCAUCUUCUAGAACAUGAAAUAAAUGCAGAUCAGAAGAAAAAGCAAAAUCAAAGCAUUGUGUGCAUGUUACUGAAAAUUAUUAUUAUAUUAAUAAAUUAUUGAAAUUAUUAGCAGUAGCAAUAUUUGGAAACUUAUCUAGAAAGCUGAAUUAGAUUAAUAGAGUAGUUCAGGUUGGACAGGACUUCUGGAGGUCUGUCCCUUCCCAAAGCAGGCCCAACUUAAAUGAAGUUGUUUAGAACCCUGUCCAGUUGAGGUCUGAAUAUCUCUGAGAGUGGAUAUGCCACAGCCUCCCUAGAGCAAACUGUGUCAAUGUUUGACCAAGUUAAAAAUCUUUAAUUCGUGUCUAACUGAAAAUUGCAUUGCAAUGUGUCUAUUGCCUCUUGGUCUGUCACUGAGAGUUCCAAAGUGAAUUUGACUUGGUGUUCUUUUUAUUUUCCUUUUUAUUCUUGGUGUUUUGUGCUCUGCUAAGCAGUAAUAUCUGUUAAAACUACAAUUUUCAUGUUGAGACAUAAAAGGCAAGUAUUUCUUCACAGGAUUCCCUUGCAGGUUUAAGCAUGGUUCUGACCUUUAUAUGCCCUCAUGACUUACUCAGGUUGGUAUCUGAUAAAUCAGUUGGUUUUCUCUGCAUGAAGAGUGGAGAUGUUCCAGUUUUUCCUUCCUGGAUAUUUGUAUUUCUUUGAGCAUGAAAACAGAAUAUUUUUAUUGUAUCUUAAUAUUUCUAUGAUGAGACAUACACACAUCUUACACUAAUUAUUAAUUCAUUCUUAAUUGAGAAUAAAUCAUAUUUAUUCACAGAAAGAACUUGUAUCAGUUAUCUGAAAAGGUGGUAAGCAGAAGUUAAUAAUUAACCAGUUGAAAAAUAAUUAACCCUUUAGUUAAAGGACACAUUCUGACAAAAGCAACCUGACUUCCCACAACUGUUAAAAAUGCUUAAAAGUAGAGAUCUUGAUAAUCCUGUAUUGGAAUAGUAAAGUAGUAUGAAGUCUUAGAUACAUCCAUCUGUUACUAUGGACAGUGUUUUGAUACAACAUACAUUAAAUAUGAUUUGGUGUCUUAGUAACUUUGAACUGUUAUUAAGGCAUUAAAUUGAAUGCCUUUAGAUGAUUAGAGGAAUAUUUGAGAUGUACCUUCUGAGAGAAAAAGAACAAAAGGUUCCUUGUUUGAGUUACUUGAUGUAUAUUUUUAACUUUGGGUGUACAGGAUCACCAAGCUCAUUUGGAAAAUUUUCUGCCUGUUCAUGAACAUAAUGAUCAGAAGAUUGAACUAACAGUCUUUCAGUGACAGAGAAAAAAGUGGAAGCUAGCUUUUUUAGAACAAUCGUACUGACAUCGAUGCUUCCCUAUUUGCACUAGCCUAAGUCUGCUGGAGGAAAUAAGACACAAAUGACAAAAGCAUCGGGAACAGCAGCUGCUGGCAGCUACCGGUCCUUGCUCAUUGAUCCCGCUGUACUGCUGAAGACAAAAAAACUUGGUAACAGUGCCACGAGUAGUACUAGAGUUCAACGUCUGGCUGAAAAUGCCCGAACACAUCCCCUCACCCCUUUCCUCUCUCAUUCUAAAGCGUUUCUUUAGCUUGUGCUCUAGAGAAAGUCGACAAACAUUUUCCCCAUUUACUUUUCGUCCCCGUGUAUCAAUUAAAAUACAAUUAAUUAGCA